UAAACAUGCUAGUAAGGUACAUGAAAUAUUUUUGUAUAUUUCACUUAUGCCAUUUCAUAUUCUUUUCAGAACUCAUGUAAAUACAUAUCAGUCAAAUGUACAAUGUUGUAAAGAGACUUAGGUGGCAGAUUUCUGUUUACACUUGUCUCCACUGUGCGUAAGUGUAAUUCCACAUGUGGAGGAGAGCUGUAGUACUGUUUUAACUAAGCAGCCAGGACCAUAGAGAGCAGUUAAGUUGAUCUUACCGUCACUGAAACUCUAAAGUCGGGUCUCCGACGAAGAAUGAAGCUACGAGAUCUGCCCGUUCAGUAAGCUGACUUUGAAAUCUGAAAAGCUGUUUUGUUUCGGGGUUUUUGUUGUUGUUGUUGUUGCUGCUGUUUGAGGCAGGGAAGCCUUUGUUUGUGUUCAGCUAAGGACAAAGAGCGAGGCCAGCUGGAAGAACUGUGGGCAGCAGUAAAUUAUUCAUUCAAAUAUGUGCAUUAGAUGACAGACAAAAAUCACAGAGCGAAACGGGAAUGUUGAGUGCUCAAUAAAAUUGGGAAGGUGUGAUGGCGUACCACCUCAAAUAUUUGUGCCAAAAUAUAGACUUCUGAAAAUCUCAAGCUGAAACAAACUUCUUUACUUUGGACCAGCUCUGCUUGGUCUCUGAUUUGAUGAGAUUAUUAGAUUUUUUAUUUUAUUUUAUUUUAUUUUUUCAUAUUUAAAAAAGAAAAAAAAACAUAACAAGCAUGUCUGUUGGGGAGUGGGUUGUAGAGAUGUGGACUGAGGAGAAAAAUAAAUGGUCUCCUGAUCUUGAAAAUGAGCAUGUCGUAAAGAAAACUUUUUUUUUGUUAGUUGUGCAAUAUUUUCUUUAACAAAAAAAACUUUGUCAUUUCUUCUGACCACAGUUUGUUACCUUUUUACUUUAGCAUCUCAGUUGCUGGUCUGUACAUUUUUAUUUAUGAGAUUGUUCCUCAAUGUAGAUCAAGUAUACAUACUGUAUAUUGUGAAGUUGUUUUUUUUUCCCCCGAAGAUUUCUUUGUGUUGGGGGGGCGGGAGUUUGUUACAAGUAUAGACCAAGUUAUGAGAUUGAAAUGCGGGGAUUGGGUUUGAGGGAUGGGAACAGGUGACUUUUUGAUGUUUUUGUGAAGUUUGCAUUGGUGGAAAAGAUGUGAAUGAGUAAGUGCCCGGUUUAUUGUAGUUUGUAGACUAGUUAUGUAGAGUGUAAAUGUCAAGUCAUGGUGUGUCUGUAUUCAGCUGUGCAGUCUACCAGCCCCAUUAGUGUUAAAUCUGUCCUCUUCAACCAUGUGUGGUCAUGACUUCCUGCACAUACACACUCAUUCAUCGUUCACAGGAGUUCACAAGUGUAAGCCACUGAGUUCACAUUCAGCGAUGCUAAUGGACUUGGUUAAGGGUUCACUUUAAACUGAUGAUGACCUGUUGUAGAUAUUGUAGGAUUUGGCUUUUCUCUAGAAAAGAUCUGUGCUUUGUAUUUGUAGCUGUAGACUUAAAUGACAAAAAAAAAAAAAAAAACUUGGGAAAAAAACUCUGAUUCUGACUUGGUGACUGAACGUUUAUAGUGAAUGGAUAGUAAGGCAUGCCAUGUAAAUUAUUUUAUAAUUGUAUAUGUCACGCAUCUUUUGAAUAAAAUGUCAUUGUUUCAGAAAAA
ensembl:lncRNA